AGUUUUAAGCUGGUUGGUUAAGCACAUCAUUAAACAACAGACAUUUAUUGCUUUUUGUAAACACUGAACUGGCUGAACCAUGUCUACACUGGGCCCAUGCUGGCCUCGAACUUUCGACGACCUUGGAUGUACCACAUGGUUUCGUGGUAGGAGCGGGGCAGCACCUCGGUAACCGUGUCCGGAGACGAGAAGGUGUAGUAGAACGUGUUGGUGGUCACCUGGCUGCCCGUUUGUGGGUCCAUCACAUCUGCAACGGUCAUGAUCUGCACGUAGUUCUCCUUGGUGUACACCACAUAGGCGGUCAUCUUGAUGAAGCUGUUCACGCUGACGGGCUUCUCGAAGCUGAUGUCGGAUAUGUGCUCCAGCUUGGGUCGCGUUUUGCAGUAGAGGUAGGCUGCUGCCCAGCUUAUCUCCAGGGCACUUCGCAUGAGGAAGCCUCCGAAGACCCGGUUGUGGUGGUUCCUGUGCUCCGGAAAUGAGGGAAUAGUGCUCAUCUGGAAAGAGUCCUCCAUCCAGCGACAGUUUGGUGGCAGGAUGCGCUUGUUGAGUUCCAAAGUGUUGGUGGGAGUUGUCCUUUUGUACAGCUCGUACAUAAUUGUCUGCUCCGGGUCAUUGGGUUCCACCUUAAAGAUGGACUGAGCACAGAGAAUCUGACGUUUCUUCUUUCUAUCUGCGCCGCCAGCCAGAAUCACUUUCUCUUCCUCGUUGGCCGGCUGUAAGGGGUUCACAGGAGCCGCUCCGGUAUUGUUAGCGUUUCUUGCUGCCAUCAGGAACAAGGCACGGGUUAACUUUUGGUACCUCCCGCCAACCAUCUGUUCCAGCCACACUACCACCUCAAUUGAACUGGUUCCCACCCAGGAAACGUGCCCAGACAAACGGAUAUCUUGGGUGCCUGAAGCCAAGACAUUGGUGAAAUCGAUGCGGUCCACCAGAAUGGUCACAAAGGUGUACGGCAGAUGAACUCCCUCCGGCAGAUUGGGCAGAACCAGGUGUUUAUGACAGCACCAAGCUGGAAAUAGCGGAUAGUGAGAAAGUGCGCCAAGAUUCCAGCAAAUGUGUUCCUCAUACCAGCAAACAAGUCCAUGUCCUCCAGAAGUCGCCCGAAUCGCACAUUGCCCAGAUAGGUCACAUAUUUGUCCUGCAAACUGCGGUCCGUGCUCAGAGGAAUGAUGGCCGAGGUGAAGGAAUCCUGCAUAGCUCUUGGAGGCAGAUCCUCCAGCUUCGGCUGGUACUUGAGCAGCUGCUCCCUGGAUUUGGGCAGCGGGUUGUAACCGGGCUCCAGCCCCAAUCGCUUCAUCAUCCCCUGCUUGACUGCAGACGUUCGGGGAUUACGAUGGGUUUGACUCUGGCAAGACAACACUUACCCUCCGCCAUGGUUCCGGAUUCAUUGGCGACCGCUGAUUGCUUGAUAUGCGUGGGCGUAUUCCAUCAACUUGAGCCCACUGUUUACAGAAGUGAUACAUACGUAUGACGUCAUCCCGAUUGUUGUUAAUUUUAAACUGGGAAGCGAAGUUCCCUAGACAAUUUCUCAAAUUAACACAUUGUUUUGUGAUGCAUAAAUUAUGAAAUUAAGAGAUUGUACUGUUUGAAUAUUGACUAAUUGCUACUGUAUAU
ensembl:ncRNA asRNA:CR45190 antisense RNA:CR45190